rnacentral:tRNA from 1 species
UUAGAUGGACUUUAAUUAGUUCCACAAGCA